UACAGAGGUAUCAAGCGUUGUUCGGAUUCAUUGGGCGGAAAGGGCGCGUAGGCUGCGGGGCAAGUCGGGUGUGAAAUCUCAGAGCUCAACUCUGAAACUGCACUCGAUACUGCUUUGCUUGAGGACUGGAGAGGAGAUUGGAAUUCACGGUGUAGCAGUGAAAUGCGUAGAUAUCGUGAGGAAGACCAGUGGCGAAGGCGGAUCUCUGGACAGUUCCUGACGCUGAGGCGCGAAGGCCAGGGGAGCAAACGGG
rnacentral:rRNA from 1 species